UACGUAGGGUGCAAGCGUUGUCCGGAAUUAUUGGGCGUAAAGAGCUCGUAGGCGGUUUGUCGCGUCGAAUGUGAAAACCCGGGGCUCAACUCCGGGCCUGCAUUCGAUACGGGCAGACUAGAGUUCGGUAGGGGAGACUGGAAUUCCUGGUGUAGCGGUGAAAUGCGCAGAUAUCAGGAGGAACACCGGUGGCGAAGGCGGGUCUCUGGGCCGUAACUGACGCUGAGGAGCGAAAGCAUGGGGAGCGAACAGGA
rnacentral:rRNA from 1 species